rnacentral:sRNA from 1 species
GCCGGGCACGGUAGUGCAUGCCUGUAAUCUCAGCAGCUUGGGAGGCUGAGAUAGGAGGAUCUCAAGUUCAAAGACAGCCUCAACAAAAACUGAGGCGCUAAGCAACUCAGUGAGACCCUGUCUCUA